GCUGAAUGUCAUAUUUUGUUUCUUAAAAUGUGUAAAACAGAGUGAAAGUGUUAGACAUAAAUUUGUCUCUUUUGAUAAAAUGAUCGUCGACAAUAAAAAAAAUGGUCAGCUUAUUGAUAUGUUAGUGUAUACGGGCAAGUACGAAAUUUCAAAGGUUAUGGCGAGUAAGAAAAAAAUGUAAAUUCUGUCAGACUGAUCAAAACUUCAAAAUAAACAAUUAAGGAAGGCGUAAAGGUGUAGUUACCCAGAUUUUAUUUCCGAAACAAAUAUCACAUUGGUUUUGGUUGGUUUUCGAUUUUUAUAUUUUUUUACUUCACUUUUUGAAUGUAUUUGAGGAUUACGCAGUUUGCUUCAAAAGCUCAAAAUAAGAUCUUGGUUAUUGCGACAGUGACGCAAAUGAUGACGGUCGAUGUGUGCAAAUUUAUGAUUCUUCGCGUGACAAUUUUUGUCUGCAAACAGCGGAUCUUUGAACGGGGAAAAUGUGGAUAAUGAGAAGUGAGACCAACGAACCAUAAUACCACCAUCUAUGUUAUGUUGUAGCAUCAAUAUUUAUUAAUAUUUCAAAUAAACUUGUACAUAAAAUUGGA